GUUGCAAGGCGCGUUGAGCUAUGACGCCAGUAUUUUGUUCACGCGAGUUCGUUAGACCGGUCCUUAAGGUGGAAAGAGUGGUCACAUCCCGUCAUCGCGCUAUAUAUAAAGGGGCGAGGAUUCGUGUCACAGUAUUCACCGAUACAGUCCGUGAUAUCCUCGGCAAUAUGAAGUCUUCUGCGUUGUUGACCCUGACCGGAGUGGUUCUCUUGGUCCUCUUGGCCUCGCCGAUCGAGGCCCGUUGUCCCAGCACCAGGGGACUGGUGAGCGACUGCUCCUUCAGCAGGUGCACCCCGCGACAGUGCGCAGCCAGGGGCCUCGAGUGCUGCCGCAAGCCGUGCGGUGGAACCUGGUGUGUCAGAGGUGUGUGAGGACGUCCCUGUCCUGGCCGGUGAACUGACUGCAUAAACCCAACGCUGACUCUGGAGGUGCCGGGGUCCUGAACAAGACGGCUUCACCGUGUCAACGAAAACCUACGGAUGAGUCUUUGCAAGUCUGCGUGGAACUGAGUUAAAUUGAAGAAAAAAGCUACUCUAGUGUGCUAUCAGCCAAAAUCAUAAUGAUUUCCUAUUUGCAAGAUGUCUUUUCAUCUGUGCACAUGGAACAAUAAAUGCUAUACACAUAGGUGCAUCGCCA